rnacentral:rRNA from 1 species
AACGUCUGACACAGGUGCUGCAUGGCUGUCGUCAGCUCGUGUCGUGAGAUGUUGGGUUAAGUCCGUAACGAGCGCAACCUGUCCUUAGUUACCAGCACGUUAUGGUGGGCACUCUAAGGAGAACUGCCGGUGGACAAACCGGAGGAAGGUGGGGAGUGACGUCAAGUCAUCAUGGCCCUUACGGCCUGGGCUACACACGUGCUACAAUGGUCGGUACAAAGGGUUGCCAAGCCGCGAGGUGGAGCUAAUCCCAUAAAACCGAUCGUAGUCCGGAUCGCAGUCUGCAACUCGACUGCGUGAAGUCGGAAUCGCUAGUAAUCGUGAAUCAGAAUGUCACGGUGAAUACGUUCCCGGGCCUU